GAAAUGCGAUAAGUAAUGUGAAUUGCAGAAUUCAGUGAAUCAUCGAAGCUUUGAACGCACCUUGCGCUCCUUGGUAUUCCUUGGAGCAUGCCUGUUUGAGUAUCAUGAAAUCUUCAAAGUAAAUCUUUUGUUAACUCAAUUGGUUUCUACUUUGGUAUUGGAGGUCUUUGCAGCUUCACACCUGCUCCUCUUUGUUCAUUAGCUGGAUCUCAGUGUUAUGCUUGGUUCCACUCGGCGUGAUAAGUUAUCUAUCGCUGAGGACACUGUAAAAGGUGGCCAAGGUAAAUGCAGAUGAACCGCUUCUAAUAGUCCAUUGACUUGGACAAUACUUUUAUGAUCUGAUCUCAAAUCAGGUAGGACUACCCGCUGAACUUAAGC
rnacentral:misc_RNA from 1 species